UUCGCCUGCGAGCUGGGUUGUGUAAGGGCGGGUCAUUUUGGGGCGCUUAGGGGUGAGUGCCGGGGGGCGCGCUUUCCCGCGUGAAGGUCGCUCCAGGAGUCAUGCGUACAUUCGUUGAUUUUGCUCUGGACGCACUGAUGUUCCCGGCGCGCCGCCGCGCCGCCGCCACGAGGCUGUCCGUACGCCUUUCACUGUGUUUCUGUUUACAUUCGCGUCUGCAAGACCCGGCGGCGCGACCGAGGCCCGAACAGAUGGAAAUGGGCUGCCAUGUUGUGAGCUGCCCCAUGGGGAAGAGGCUCACAUGUGAGGAACUGAGGGUGGCCUCCAGAAAACAGCCAGUGAAGAACUAAGACCCUCAGUCCAAUAGCCUGUGAGGAACUGAAUCCUGCUGACAACCAUAAGAAUGAGCUUGGAAGCAGGUCCUUCCCCAGUGAAGCCUUCAUGUGAGACUGCAGCCCACCUGACACUUUGAUUUGUAGCCUUGUGACAGACCCCAAGCCAGAAGAGUCAGGAACCAUCAGUAUGAAUUCAGAAUGUAUUUCCUGGCUUUCUCUAUGGAAAAGACCUAGAAACAGUGACCAGUCCUACAGUAAUGAGCACCCCUAGCCUCUAGACUAUGUCUCACAAGACCAUUUCCCACUAAAAGGAACCAGGACUAUUUGGAGAAAUCACUGGGUCCAGGUCUUGGGCAGGAAACAUCUGAGAUGAACCUGGAAGAACUUGUUAUACCAAAGCACUCUGAAGCUUUCAAUGAAAAUUGAGGUCACGCUAAAAGGAUUCGGGAGCUGACUUGAUUGGCCAAAGAUGGGGUGAUUUCAACAUCAACAUGGAUAAAAACUGCAAGGGAUUAAAACACAUCAAAUAUAUUUAAAGCUAUGAGUUAAUAAUAUUGCUAAAAAGAAAUGUGUUGUUUCUGUUGGAGGAUGCUAGGAAAGCAACUCAUUAUUUUGAAUACUCGUAAAUAAAAAAUUCAAGCAUUUAUCGUGUUCUUCUGUAUGAACUGUACCACUGGGGAACAAAAUAGAAGAUGAAGGGUGUUUUCUCUUUAAGUAUAGGAAACUUGCUAUAUAAGGAACUGUGGAAUUAGUCUCUCAUCGUUUGACUAUCCUUAAUGUAGUAAAGGCUCUAGCUAUCAAGCAUGAAUUGUUGUCAUCACAAAAAAAAAAACAAAAAGAGACAAACGGACAUGAGGAGCCUUCUGCUGGAGCACAUCACUGCCCGUGAAGUAGUCUUGCAAAAACAUGGAACCUGAAUCUAAAUGAGCCUCUCUUUCCAACAACCAAUUUGUAGGAACUCAAAGGAGAGGACAGAGGAACACAUUCGAUGAUGCCCCCACAGAGUUGUAAUCAGCCAAAACCAGAUUGUGGGAAACUCUCCAGGCCAAAUGUCCUGCUGGACUCAAAAAAUUAAUUUCAAUGAAAACAUUUUGAAUGGGGUUGGGGGAACAUACAUACUAAGAGACAUAUCAAUCAGUUGCAGAUCCUAAUUCAAAUAAACUCUUUAAAAG
rnacentral:lncRNA from 1 species